rnacentral:rRNA from 1 species
UACGUAGGGUGCAAGCGUUAAUCGGAAUUACUGGGCGUAAAGCGUGCGCAGGCGGUAAUGCAAGACAGAUGUGAAAUCCCCGGGCUCAACCUGGGAACUGCAUUUGUGACUGCAUGGCUAGAGUACGGUAGAGGGGGAUGGAAUUCCGCGUGUAGCAGUGAAAUGCGUAGAUAUGCGGAGGAACACCGAUGGCGAAGGCAAUCCCCUGGGCCUGCACUGACGCUCAUGCACGAAAGCGUGGGGAGCAAACAGG